rnacentral:lncRNA from 1 species
GCCAUCAACCAUCUUUUAGUAGGAAGUGUUGUACACGAUCUCUAUAUGUUGACGUCUUUUGCGUAUAAAUUUCUCGCCAUGUUUACCAAAACAGAGGCAUUUUUGGUUCGAAUAUGAUUUGAAUAGGUUCAGGCUUUUUCAUCUUACCGGAAGUGCUUCGGGUGAAUAAUUUUGAUUGGACACUAGUACUUUGUUGUAGGUAAGCAUAGUAAUUUCAGAAAAUACUUGCGAAAUGCAUUUUUCAGAAUCCGUUUAAAAUUUAACCAUGUUAACAUUGGGUCCACAACUUUCUUCUAAACGUUCAAUUCAUCUGGUUAUUUUUGUAUGAAAAGAUUAUUUUAUAUAUAAUAUGUAUCCAAUGUUUAAGAUGGCUUAUUGUUCAAUAACAAUGAAAUACAAGUCAAAAACCAUAUUAAAGAAGAUCAGUUAUAUUUUGGAUUCCGAAAUAGUCAUCAACUGAUUGUUGAGGUAUGCGUAGGGGGUCAUGGGUACGCUCUUAUUCAGAAUAACAGUUAAAACAUGUAACCUUCGAGUCUAAACAACGAAGUUCCUUGGGUUAAUCUUUACAUUUUUGGUGACCAUGCUAGUUUAGAUAUAAAUUUAUAGUAUCAAUGAUACAUAGUAGGUGCGCACAAGUACAAAACAUACACAACACUUGACAAACAUACACCACACGCGUCUGCAAUACAUUGUAGAACAUAAUUACAAUAUCAAAUACAGUUAUCAAAGGUACCAUCCUUGUAAUUUGAUACGCCAGACCCGCGUUUCGUCUACAUAAGACUCAUCAGUGACGCUCUGGUCAAAAUAGUUGAAAAGUCAAAAAAGUUGAUGAGCAUUGAUAACCCAAAAUUCCAAAAAGCUGUGUCAAUUACGGCUGAGGCAAUUUAUGCCUUGGAUACACAAAUCCUUAUUAUUGCAAAUAAUUCAAACUUUUGCAAACAGUAAAUUUAUAAAAAUGACCAAGAGGUGUAAUUUGUUAUCAAAGGUACCAGGCUUAAAAUUUCAUACUACAAACGCACAUUUUAUCUACAUAAGACUCGUCAGUGACGCUCAGAUCAUAAAUCAGUCCCCGAGCGUAUCACCAGCCCAGUAGUCAACACUUCGGUGUUGACAUGAAUAUCAAUAGUGUGGUCAUUUUUUAUAAAUUUCCCGUUUACAAAACUUUGAAUUUUUCGAAAAACUAAGGAUUUUUUUAUCCCUUGGAUAGAUUACUUUCGCCGUAUUUGGCACAACUUUUUGGAAUUUUGGAUCCUCAAUGCUCUUCAACUUUGUACUUGUUUGACUUUAUAAAUAUUUUGAUAUUAGCGUCACUGAUGAGUCUUAUGUAGACGAAACGUGCGUCUGGCGUACUAAAUUAUAAUCCUGGUAUCUUUAAUAACUAUUUACUUCACUGCUGGAUCGAUGCCACUGCUGGUGGACGUUUCAUCCCCGAGGGUAUCACCAGCCCAGUAGUCAACACUUCGGUGUUGACAUGAAUAUCAAUAUUGUGGUCAUUUUUAUAAAUUUCCCGUUUACAAAACUUUGAAUUUUUGAAAAACUAAGGAUUUUCUUAUCCCAGGAAUAGAUCACCUUAGCCGUAAUUGGCACAACUUUUUGGAAUUUUGGAUCCUGAAUGCUCUUCAACUUUGUACUUGUUUGGCUUUAUAAAUAUUUUGAUAUGAGCGUCACUGAUGAGUCUUAUAUAGACGAAACGCGCGUCUGGCGUACAAAAUUAUAAUCCUUGUACUUUGAUAAUAUUUCACCACUGGUUCGAUGCCACUGCUGGUGCCGUUUCGUCCCGAGGUAUCACCAGCCCAGUAGUCAACACUUCGGUGUUGACAUGAAUAUCAAUAUUGUGGUCAUUUUUAUAAAUUUCCCGUUUGCAAAACUUUGAAUUUUUCGAAAAACUAAGGAUUUUUUAUCCCUGGGAUAGAUUACCUUCGCCGUAUUUGGCACAACUUUUUGGAAUUUUGGAUCCUCAAUGCUCUUCAACUUGGUACUUGUUUGACUUUAUAAAUAUUUUGAUAUUAGCGUCACUGAUGAGUCUUAUGUAGACAAAACGUGCGUCUGGCGUACUAAAUUAUAAUCCUGGUACUUUAAUAACUAAUUACUUCACUGCUGGUCGAUGCCACUGCUGGUGGACGUUUAAUCCCGAGGGUAUCACCAGCCCAGUAGUCAACAUUUCGGUGUUGACAUGAAUAUCAAUAUUGUGGUCAUUUUUAUAAAUUUCCCGUUUACAAAACUUUGAAUUUUUGAAAAACUAAGGAUUUUCGUAUCCCAGGAAAAAAUCACCUUAGCCGUAUUUGGCACAACUUUUUGGAAUUUUGGAUCCUGAAUGCUCUUCAACUUUGUACUUGUUUGGCUUUAUAAAUAUUUUGAUAUGAGCGUCACUGAUGAGUCUUAUGUAGACAAAACGUGCGUCUGGCGUACUAAAUUAUAAUCCUGGUACCUUUAAUAACUAUUUACUUCACUGCUGGGUCGAUGCCACUGCUGGUGGACGUUUAAUCCCCGAGGGUAUCACCAGCCCAGUAGUCAACAUUUUGGUGUUGACAUGAAUAUCAAUAUUGUGGUCAUUUUUAUAAAUUUCCCGUUUACAAAACUUUGAAUUUUUGAAAAACUAAGGAUUUUCUUAUCCCAGGAAUAGAUCACCUUAGCCGUAAUUGGCACAACUUUUUGGAAUUUUGGAUCCUGAAUGCUCUUCAACUUUGUACUUGUUUGGCUUUAUAAAUAUUUUGAUAUGAGCGUCACUGAUGAGUCUUAUAUAGACAAAACGCGCGUCUGGCGUGAAAAAUUAUAAUCCUGGUACUUUGAUAACUAUUUACACCACUGGGUCGAUGCAACUGCUGGUGGCCGUUUCGUCCCCGAGGGUAUCACCAGCCCAGUAGUCAACACUUCGGUGUUGACAUGAAUAUCAAUAUUGUGGUCAUUUUUAUAAAUUUCCCGUUCGCAAAACUUUGAAUUUUUCGAAAAACUAAAGAUUUUCUUAUCCCAGGAAUAGAUUACCUUAGCCGUAUUUGGCACAACUUUUUGGAAUUUUGGAUAUUGAAUGCUCUUCAACUUUGUACUUGUUUGGCUUUAUAAAUAUUUUGAUAUGAGCGUCACUGAUGAGUCUUAUAUAGACGAAACACGCGUCUGGCGUACAUAAUUAUAAUCCUGGUACAUUGAUAACUAUUUACACCACUGGGUCGAUGCCACUGCUGGUGGCCGUUUCGUCCCCGAGCGUAUCACCAGCCCAGUAGUCAACACUUCGGUGUUGACAUGAAUAUCAAUAGUGUGGUCAUUUUUUAUAAAUUUCCCGUUUACAAAACUUUGAAUUUUUCGAAAAACUAAGGAUUUUUUUAUCCCUUGGAUAGAUUAUUUUCGCCGUAUUUGGCACAACUUUUUGGAAUUUUGGAUCCUCAAUGCUCUUCAACUUUGUACUUGUUUGACUUUAUAAAUAUUUUGAUAUUAGCGUCACUGAUGAGUCUUAUGUAGACGAAACUUGCGUCUGGCGUACUAAAUUAUAAUCCUGGUACCUUUAAUAACUAUUUACUUCACUGCUGGGUCGAUGCCACUGCUGGUGGACGUUUAAUCCCCGAGGGUAUCACCAGCCCAGUAGUCAACAUUUCGGUGUUGACAUGAAUAUCAAUAUUGUGGUCAUUUUUAUAAAUUUCCCGUUUACAAAACUUUGAAUUUUUGCAAAACUAAGGAUUUUCGUAUCCCAGGAAAAAAUCACCUUAGCCGUAUUUGGCACAACUUUUUGGAAUUUUGGAUCCUGAAUGCUCUUCAACUUUGUACUUGUUUGGCUUUAUAAUUAUUUUGAUAUGAGCGUCACUGAUGAGUCUUAUGUAGACAAAACGUGCGUCUGGCGUACUAAAUUAUAAUCCUGGUACCUUUAAUAACUAUUUACUUCACUGCUGGGUCGAUGCCACUGCUGGUGGACGUUUAAUCCCCGAGUGUAUCACCAGCCCAGUAGUCAACAUUUCGGUGUUGACAUGAAUAUCAAUAUUGUGGUCAUUUUUAUAAAUUUCCCGUUUACAAAACUUUGAAUUUUUCGAAAAACUAAGGAUUUUCUUAUCCCAGGAAUAGAUUACCUUAGCCGUAUUUGGCACAACUUUUUGGAAUUUUGAUCUGAAUGCUCUUCAACUUUGUACUUGUUUGGCUUUAUAAAUAUUUUGAUAUGAGCGUCACUGAUGAGUCUUAUGUAGACGAAACGCGCGUCUGGCGUACAAAAUUAUAAUUCUGGUAUUUUGAUAACUAUUUACACCACUGGGUCGAUGCCACUGCUGGUGGCCGUUUCGUCCCCGAGGGUAUCACCAGCCCAGUAGUCAACACUUCGGUGUUGACAUGAAUAUCAAUAUUGUGGUCAUUUUUAUAAAUUUCCCGUUUACAACACUUUGAAUUUUUCGAAAAACUAAGGAUUUUCCUAUCCCAGGAAUAGAUUACCUUAGCCGUUUUUGGCACAACGUUUUUGGAAUUUUGGAUCUUCAAUGCUCUUCUUUGGCUUUAUAAAUAUUUUGAUAUGACCAUCACUGAUGAGUCUUAUGUAGACGAAACACGCGUCUGGCGUACAAAAUUAUAAUCCUGGUACUUUGAUGACUGUUAUAAAUUUUCGUUCGGAAAAAAAAUCGUAUUAAUAUGUGACAGCUGAACACAAAAUAUCGAUUACGAAACUUAUCAAACAACUGCACUUUAAACAUAAUAAGUUUCAUUACAUAACUAUGAAGGUUAUUUUAUGGCUGAUUCCAUAACAGCUACCAACAAAUAUAUAAAUUGAAAACGAAAAUCCAAUAUCAAAUUCAUGUUGCAGUAAUAACUAACAUUCAAGAGUAUGGGAAUAUUACAGUCUAGUUUAAAUCAUUUUCUUUGCUUGUUUUACAUCUCAAAUCUAAUAUACAAUUUCAAAAUUGAAAAUGACAUCUUAUAUUAAAAAAAGUCAAGCUAAUAAACACACGCUUUUAAUCUUUGUCCAUAUCAGUAGUUGCAAUAAACAAUUGUUAUUGUGAUGAAGUUUGAAAUUUAGUUUAUAAGUAGUUGUCAUUCACUUAACAACUGAUAGUGUGGUUGCAAUUGAUAAACAAAUUGAGAACGGAAAUGGGAAAUAUGUCUAUGAGACAACAGCCCGACUUUAGAGCCGAAAACAGCCGAAGGCCACCAAUGGGUCUUCAACACCAGGAGAGCCGUAGUGUAGAUGUUAGCUCAUAAGACUACUAACAAAAAGUUUCCUUGUUCGAUCCCUGCUGCGAAGUAAGUAAAUUUCAGGGAUUGAAUUUUCGGCUCUCCCUUGACACCAUUUGCAACACCAUUUGCAAUAAAAAUGGGGAAAUGUGUCAAAGAGACAACAACAAGACCAAAAGACAACAACCAAAGGUCACCAAUGUGUCUUCAAUGCAGCGAGAAAUUCCGGCACCCGGAGGUGUGCUUCAGGUGGCCCCUAAACAAAAAUGUUUACUAGUUUAGUGAUAAUGGACGUCAUACUUAACUCCGAAAUAUACACAAGAAACUAAAAUUAAAAAUCAUACAAGACUCACAAAGGCCAGAGGCUCCUGACUUGGAACAGGCGCAAACAUUUACUGUCUUGAGAAACGAUGAUAGUCCGUCGGAAGGGGGACGCUAAAUGGCUGACCCGUAUUAAGAGAAAGCCACAUCUCGUGCACGUAAAAAUCACCCUUGCAGAUUUAAAAAAAGAGAAGGCUAAUGCCGUUAUAAAACAGCACUCGCACCCGAAAAGUGGAAAGGGAUUAAUAUAAGUUGUUUGCGAAUCCACUAUUAAUAAAUAUGUUUAAACUAACAUCCAAAGGCGGGCUCCACCAGGCCUGAAACAAAACUGUGUACUAGUGCAGUGAAAACUAACGUUAUAUUUUACUCAAAAAAAUAUAAAUGAAUAAAAAAAUGUUGUUAAGUUAGAUCUCAACCCUCCCUUAUUAAUCUCGCAAGUAAAGAAAACCAAAUUUAUCCCAGCCGCAGUUCUGUGCCUGUCCCAAAUCUAGAGCCUCUGGUCUUUGUUAAUCUUGUAUGCUUUUUUAAUUUUAAUUCAUUUGUAUGUUUUGGAGUUAAGUUUGACGUCCAUGCUCACUGAACAAGUACAUAAUUGUAUUUAUGAAUCAGUAGAGGACCACCUCCGAGCUGUGUUGAAGACCCAUUGGUGGCCUUCGGAAUGUUGUCUGCUCUUUGGUUGGUCGGGUUGUUGUUUCUUUGACAUUUUCCCCAUUCAUUCGUAAUUGUAUACAACAAUACGCACAGUAAAAGUAAGUUUUAAAUGUAGUCCGAGUGCGAUGUCAGAACAGGUAACAAAAGAAAUUAAGCAACAUGACAAUGAUAUAUAAAAUAACAUUGGACUUCUUGCAGUUACGUCCAUUUCCAGACUAUAAUCAAACUGAUUGUAAGAUUAUGUCUUCGUCAUAUAAAUAUUUAGCACAAUCCCUUUAGUUAUAUUUUCAUUCAGAUUUUCAGAAUGUUUGUAUCAUUAAUGAAAACAAAAUAUUCAGCAUUGUUAUUAACAAUGAUUAGUUUCUUCUCUUACUUUUUCUUUAUUCUGUUAUUUUUUAUCUAAAGGUAUUCCAAGUUACGACAUUAGGGUUUCUUGGUUUUUAUAAGUGUGACUUUUUUUUUCAAAAACGUUUUUAUAAACUGUAGAUAGAUGUCAUAACAACAAAAUUGAAUGUCAAGCUGAUUUUAAAAAUAUAUACAAAAUAUGUGUUAUUAUAUAAAAUAUCAAAAUGUUAAUAUUCUUUUAGUAGUUAAAAUCAUCCAUCCGACUCGUUUCACGUCAAAUAAGUACAUAUUGGUAAGACAAGUUCAAUGUUAAACAUCAAUUAGAUGACUAACCAUCAACAGUUUACAACUGGGAAGUGUUGCACACGAUCUUUAUAUACUGAUGUGUAUUUCGUAUGUGAUAAACUGUAUGUACUCAUAAACCAUCAAAAAUGCUCUAACCACUAAUCUGUCCUUUUCACCUAUAGGAAAUGCUUCGGAUGAAUAAUUGUGCAUGGACGCUAAUAAUUUGUGGUAGGUAUUCCAAAACUAUUUGCAAAGGGCAUUUUAGAUAAUAAGCUUAAAUUUAACGUUGUAUCAAAAACUUUUCCAAAUAGGUUUUAUGUACCUGCCUUUCGGCUUUACAAAGAGUAUUUUACACUAAAUAUAUAGCUAAUGUUUAGGAUGGCGAAUAUUUCACUAGUCUGUAUGAAAACAAUAACAAUGUAGCAUACAGUUAUAUUUUAAACAUAUAAAUAGACAUCAUGUCAUUGCUACGGUACUGCUAGGCGCUCAUGGGUACGAUUUUAUUCAAGAUUUGAUCAUCACCUGUUAUGUCCGCGUCGAAUCUGUUUUGGUCCUCCUCGUUUAUUGUUAUUUUUGUGGUAACCAUACUUGUGUACAUAGAAACGUGUAUCAUCAAUAAUACACACAAGUUAUAUGCACCAAAAGAACGAUACCGACACAGAAAUGGACUAACGAACAUUACACCAGUCUUCGAUACAUUGGUUUUAACAUUUUAACAAUAUCAUUCAAUGCGUUUCACGUCAUAUUUUUAUACAUACUAUCUAUCGAACAAACAAUUAUAAGGGAUUCUAAAAUGCACAUCGAUUGAUUGAACUAUUGUGUGAAAAUUAUAACAAUGAUUUUUAUUUGAUAAAAAACAUAAAUAUGACUUGAAACUAUUAUUUGUAAUUAAUAUGUCUCAGUCAGUUAGAAAGCGCUCUGGACCAGGAGGACUUGACCAGGACGAUUUGAGUAAAAAUUGAUUUCUGUGGUUUACAUAUCCAAAUACCUGAUAGUUAAAUAGCGACAUGGAUUAUUUACAUCAUUUUUUGGAAUGUUGUAAAACACAGUCAUGCAUUGGUAUUCAAAAUUGCUAUUGAAGAUGUUUUAGAUAAACCUCCGAAACAAUUCAACCAUUUCCUGAUGCCAACUAUACAUAAAAUGAAACAGGAGAUGUGUUGGUUAUAAAAGCUGAUGUUGUAAGAAAUUGUUGUGUAUGAGAUAAUUCUUAUGUUUUAUUUGAUAGAUGCAUUACGGAAUUGAUAAAUCAAUAUUAGCUUUAGUCAUGUUCCAGUUGAUAGACGAACGUGUUAAUAACUUUUAUUACAUAACUAUGAUACAUUUAAGUUCAUUUAGGGUAAGAAUCAAUUUUAUCGAAUUUUCACAACUCGUUUCGAAAUAUUAGUCAUCUUCCCUUAAAAGCAUAUGGUGCAGUAGCAAUUGUCCAACCAAUCUUUCCAAUAAAUACGUUUUAAUGUUGUCCCUUUCUUCAUUCAGACUUUUCGAAAAAAAUAAUAUCGUGUUAAGAUGAUUUGCAAAAUUUUCAGCACUGUUAUGUAACUAUUAUUUUCUUAUCACAUAGUAAUGAAUUAAUAGCCUAAGGGCUCUUCACGGUAAGUUCGGCCAUAUUGGAUAGGGGGCAGAUUUUUUUGAAAGGGGUGUUAAUUGUUUGAAAGUAUGUGUGUUUCCAAGCAACUGCUCUGUUUUAAUGAUGUUUUCCCGUAUUUUUCACACUAGUUUUACCUCCAUUAUGAAUUUCUGCCCCUAUCCAAUAUGGCCGAACUAACCGUGAUGAGCCCUAUUGAUAAUAUCAACUUUAAUCAACAGCUUAUCCAGAUUAUGACAAGAACAUUUUUGUUUUUGAUAAGUGUGUUUUUUCUCCAGAUUGUUUUAAGUUCUGCAAUUAAAUGAAAUAAAAAUGAAAAUUGAAUACCAAAUUGAUAUAACAUAUUAUUGCAUAGCAAUAUAAUAUUUUCCACAGAAAGUAGCCAAAAGUAAGCGUGCAAUGAAUUCCAAUAUUGCACUAGUGCAAUAAAGCUUCAAAAUUCAUGACGUCAUCAACGACAAAAUCUUAGUUUAAACCAAUUUUUACUUUCAAGUAAUUUUAUUUGCUAUACAAUAAAAAGGUUAUUGCAUGAAUAUUUGGGGACUAUUGUCCCUCGUGGAACAUAUAUUGCACUCGCAAGCUUGUGCAGUAUAAAAUUCUACUCCGGACAAUAUUCCCCAAUAUUCAUGCAAUAACCCUAUAUUACUACAUCAUAUACUAUAACGUUUUGAAAUGCCAAUAUACUUUUAAUGAAAUCAUGCCCUAGACCCGUUUUAAGUCAAAUAUAUACAUUUAGUUCAGAAAUGUCAAUGUUAAACAUUAGAUAGAUUGCAAGCCAUCAACCAUCUAUAAGUAGAAAGUGUUGCACACGAACUAUAUAUAUUGUUUUAAACAGUAUUUAUUAAUGAAAAAUUACAAGAAUAAAAUAUUACAAUACAAUGUUGCAAAAAGUUCAAAUGUGGGAUUCGGAAACAACAUGGGUUAUGUACACAGUUUUGGAAUUUUGUAAAACAAAGUCAUGCAUUUAUAUUUAAAUAUCAGAAAAUAUUAACCCAUUUCCUACUGUCAACUAUACAUAAAAUGAAACAGGUGUUGAGUUGAUUAGAAAAACUGAUGUAGUUAGAAAUUUUUUGUAUAUGAAACAUUUAUUUUUUAUGUUAUGUAUUUGAUAGCUGGAUGCAUUGAGUAACUGGGAAAGCAAUAUAACUUUUAGUCAUGUUCCCUUAAGUAGAUGGACACAUCAUUCUGAUCAAAUGAUAUAGAUUGAAUUAAAUUUUGAUUUAUGCAAUAGUCUACACGCAAUGUACCUGUGAUUAAAUCAUAAGAUAACUUCUAUUGCAUAAUUAUGAUGCAUUUAAGCUCACUAUGGAUAAUUUUGAAGAAGUGAAAAACUGCGCUCGUCAUUUUUACAGAUUAUUCAAUUGAAAUUUGUUAACCAAUAUUUCCAAAAAAUACAUUUUCGAUAUUGUCUCCAACUCCGAUCAGACUUAACAGGAAAGAGUAUCGUAUUAAGAUGAUUAUCAAAAUUUUCAGCGCUGUUAUAUGUAACUAAUAUUUUCUUUUCACAUCGUUAUUAAUUAAUCUAAUUUGUUUUCUUUUACCAACAGGUUGUCCAGGUUCCGACACGACGGCUUCUUGUUUUUUAUAAAAGUUUUCCUUUUUCAAGAAAAGUUUGAUAAACUGCAUAAGCAUGAAAUGAAAAUAAAAAUUGAAUAUCAAACUAAUCUGAUAAAUUUC